GACCCGCGCCGUAUUAGCUAGUUGGUGAGGUAACGGCUCACCAAGGCAACGAUACGUAGCCGACCUGAGAGGGUGAUCGGCCACACUGGAACUGAGACACGGUCCAGACUCCUACGGGAGGCAGCAGUAGGGAAUCUUCCGCAAUGGGCGAAAGCCUGACGGAGCAACGCCGCGUGAGUGAUGAAGGUCUUCGGAUCGUAAAGCUCUGUUGUUAGGGAAGAACAAAUGUGUAAGUAACUGUGCACAUCUUGACGGUACCUAACCAGAAAGCCACGGCUAACUACGUGCCAGCAGCCGCGGUAAUACGUAGGUGGCAAGCGUUAUCCGGAAUUAUUGGGCGUAAAGCGCGCGUAGGCGGUUUUUUAAGUCUGAUGUGAAAGCCCACGGCUCAACCGUGGAGGGUCAUUGGAAACUGGAAAACUUGAGUGCAGAAGAGGAAAGUGGAAUUCCAUGUGUAGCGGUGAAAUGCGCAGAGAUAUGGAGGAACACCAGUGGCGAAGGCGGCUUUCUGGUCUGUAACUGACGCUGAUGUGCGAAAGCGUGGGGAUCAAACAGGAUUAGAUACCCUGGUAGUCCACGCCGUAAACGAUGAGUGCUAAGUGUUAGGGGGUUUCCGCCCCUUAGUGCUGCAGCUAACGCAUUAAGCACUCCGCCUGGGGAGUACGGUCGCAAGACUGAAACUCAAAGGAAUUGACGGGGACCCGCACAAGCGGUGGAGCAUGUGGUUUAAUUCGAAGCAACGCGAAGAACCUUACCAAAUCUUGACAUCUUUUGACCACUCUAGAGAUAGAGUUUUCCUCUUCGGAGGACAAAAUGACAGGUGGUGCAUGGUUGUCGUCAGCUCGUGUCGUGAGAUGUUGGGUUAAGUCCCGCAACGAGCGCAACCCUUGAGCUUAGUUGCCAUCAUUAAGUUGGGCACUCUAAGUUGACUGCCGGUGACAAACCGGAGGAAGGUGGGGAUGACGUCAAAUCAUCAUGCCCCUUAUGAUUUGGGCUACACACGUGCUACAAUGGACAAUACAAAGGGCAGCAAAACCGCGAGGUCAAGCAAAUCCCAUAAAGUUGUUCUCAGUUCGGAUUGUAGUCUGCAACUCGACUACAUGAAGCUGGAAUCGCU
rnacentral:rRNA from 1 species